CCACCCUUUCCUCUCCUCUCUGCCCCUCAGCGCCCAUUUGUGCUUCUUGCCACUCUCGCCGCCGCCGCCUUCGCCGCCGCUGUUCCCGUCGUUGUCGCUAGUGGCUGUCGCCCUUCCGUCGCUGUUGUUGUUGAUUUUCCUGCCGUCGCUGUUGUCCCCUCGCCGUCGCAGUCUUUGCUGUUCCCGUGGGUGUCGUGUGUUGCCUUCGACUCGCCGUCGCUGUCCCCUCGCCGUCGCCGUCGCUGUCGCUGCUGAUCCCGUGGGUGUCGCGCGUUGCCUCGCCGUCGCCGCCGUUGCCACCCGCUGCUGCAGCUGCUGAUCGUCGCCACUCCAAGUAAGUGUGUGUGUGUGUGCUGUGAUGAGUGAAUGAUGUAAUGAAAUUAUUUUUAAAUAAAUUAACAGAUUUGAAUUUAUUUAAAAAAAUAACAGGAUUUUAUUGGUUAUGUUAAAUAACUAAAAAUAAAUUGAUUAGAAGUAGCAGCAGAAGUAGCAGUGGUUGAAGGGAUAGCAUGGUUUGUUUAGUUGUAUGUUUGAUGGUGGGUUGAGAGGGUGGAGUGGGAGAGGGAUUUAUUUGCGUUGGGUUUCGGGAUGCGUAGAGGAAAAAGUGAGAUAGCUUUGGAUUUUUAAUGUUAUUUAUUUAUCUCUUGUUCAACUUUGGCUUUCUUUUCUCCUUUUAACAGAAAAAAAAAAUAUAUUUUAUUUCUUUAAUCUGUUCCCAUUUUAAUAACUUUUUUAAAUUAGUGGUAUAUUCCUAAGAAAAAAUUGACCUCUAAUUCAAGUGUUGAUGAUCAGAGUCAAAAAGAUAAUUUUUAUAAAUUUAAGCUCUCCUCACCUUCGGCCAUAUAAAUAUAUUUAGAAUGACCAAAUAGUUUUUUAGAGCUCAAAUAAUAAUACAUCCUGUGAUUUGACAGUAAAGGAACCCAGAAAUGAACAUAUCAGCAGAAUUGUCAAGCAUUUCAGGCAUUAUAUAAACAUAAUUUGUUCAAAUCUGAACUAAAAUUAUAAACAUACUCUGUCCAAAUCUGAAUUAUGAUCCACCUCAAUCACUCUCCUUGUAAAGCAAAAGUAAUCAACAAUGGUGCAAAAGAAUACAUGAGUAGCUAGAGACAUAAUGUUAAGCACAUAAACAGAAAGUGAAUGCUAAAGCACCCUAAUAGGAUGAGGGCAUAAUAAGGGUCUAAUUAUUUCAUUUCAGGAACUAUGAAAUGGAUCACAAAGCUUAAAUAUGUCCCAGUUGCAUCCCUAUGUCAAAAUUUAUCAAGUGAAAGUCAAUCAUUCAAUUAAAUAACACAGAAUUUGACUUUUAAAUAAAAAAGACAUAUAGGAGAAAAGUCAACUAGGAAAAAUGGGGGGCGGGUGGGUGGAAGGCUGUGAUAACUGUAUGGUGAGUUAAUGAACUGAGAAAUAGCAGUAUAUUGAGGUAGAAGACUCAAUUCUCGUCAGUCUAGACUUUAUUAAUAAAUUCCACCUCCUUUUCCAGUUUCCUUCAAUCUUAUUCUCUCUUUGAUUGGAGUUUCUAUCUUUGAUACCGCUUGAAGCAGCAAAAAGGUUUAAGACAAUUGGAUUUCAACAAUUGGGAAUACAAUAGGAUUGAUUGUGGUUAGAACAAAGAAUACAAUUAGUUUCCAGAAAACGUCUUGAUUAAAAACAGAAUACCAAUUCCAAAUGGAAAGACUGAAAAACUUGAUAAUAGAAAUGGGCACAAUCUUGAACAGAAAGUGAAGUGUGUGAGUGCUUUGUUAGUAAUGGAAAAAUGAAAAAUACAAACAGCAAAUUGAAACGUUCAAAUCAUGGGAACCAUGGUAUGGUUCUUGCCUUUGAAUAUAAUGGAAUUUAAGAAACAUUAUUAUUAUUAUUAUUAUUAUUAUUAUUAUUUUUUUUUUUUUUUUUUUUUUUUUGGGGAGGAAGGGGUUAACUAAAAAUUAUGGAUAUGCACAAUUCAUUCAGAAAACUGAAGCUUUUGAUGCUUAGGCUCUGUUAGGGCAAUAGCUCUACCAGGUUGAAAUAAGGCAGAAUAAAGAGAUAUAUAUUAUUUCUCAGUAACUAAUUUGACAGCUGUAAACUAUUAAUAGUUUAGUAUAUGAAUAAAAUAGCUCUAAAAAUUAUGGAUAUGAAUAAAAUGGAAUGUCCUUACACGUGUGCUGUGUUGAGAUAUAUAUUAUUUCUCAGUAACUAAUUUGACAGCUGUAAACUCAUAGCUAUAACAACCUCACUACUGGCUAUAACAACCUAUAACAGCCUAUAACAGCCUAGAAUAUAAUUUAUUUUUAGUUUUUUGAAUAAAUUAUUAAUAGUUUAGUAUAAUUAAUUUACGUUUAAUUAUUAUAAUUUUUAUAAAUUUAAGUGUUAAAUAUGUUAUAAUUCUAAUUUAAAUGUUUAAUAAAUUAAUAGCAACUAAUACAAAAUAUUCAGCCAUUUAUUUAUGUCCAUCACACACAGUUCUUUUAUUCAUAAAUGCUAAUAUAUUGGUUGUCUUUAUUGUUAAUUGAAACUAAUGGACAAUUAUUUUUUCAGAUGCCUCGAAGAGCAAUAUCAUCUAGAGGUAGAGGACAUAGCCGGCAGCUCUCUACGAAUGAAACAGAUGAGUCAGUACAGAUGCAAGAGGAAACACUGGAGCACACUCCAGCAGCAUUAGGGGGACAAGCAAACGCAUCAUCAUAAUCAUCAGUUCGAAUUAGAGGUCCGAACUUGGGACAUCCUAUCCCAUCAAACCCGUCUGAUCGGCAAUUGAUCAGACGAUUAGUUUUUAGUUUUUAGUUUUAUGAACAUUGUUAAGUAUAAUUGAUUUAUUUUAAAUUUUAUGACGAUUGUUAAAUAUUAUGAAUUUAUUUUAAAUUUUAUGAACAUUGUUAAAUAUUAU
rnacentral:lncRNA from 1 species